UACGUAGGGGGCUAGCGUUGUCCGGAAUCAUUGGGCGUAAAGCGCGCGUAGGCGGUCAGGUAAGUCCGGUGUGAAAGUCAAAGGCUCAACCUUUGAAUGCCGCUGGAUACUGCUUGACUUGAGUCCGGAAGGGGCGAGUGGAAUUCCGUGGUGUAGCGGUGAAGUGCGCAGAUAUCAGGAGGAACACCAAUGGCGAAGGCAGCUCGCUGGAACGGUACUGACGCUGAGGCGCGAAAGCGUGGGGAGCGAACAGG
rnacentral:rRNA from 1 species